AGCAACCAUUUGCUUCAUGUUACCAAAGUGCAAGAAAGGGGACGGCAAAUCCGACGGGGAUGACAUGACAGUGGAUGCCAUAUCUACGAGGACAACAUCGUUUACUUAUUCCGUCGUGGAUGUCGGUGAGUUUCCAUGAUUAACUAUUUCUCAGCCCGAAUCUCCAGCCGAGUCCGGCCACACCUCGAAAUGCUGCCCGAAUCUAUUGAUGAAUCGACGGAAAGCUGCGUGAACAAUACAUUCCAGAAGCUGUGACAUGCGAUGAAAAGGAACUGUUUAAGGGGAUCGUCUGUGGGGAACACUUUAACAAUUUUGAUAAAGUCGUCCUCCAGGUUACAGAAAAAAAUGUACCUCGAUAAAUAACAUCAUUCGAAGAAGCCGGCCUGCGCCCACUACUACUUCAAAACAUUAAGAUUGCUGGCUACAUAAAAUCAACACCUAUACAGAAAGCUUCAGUUGCAGAUAUUCUUGCCAAAAGAGAUUUGAUUACUUGUGCUGUCACGGGCUCCGGCAAAACGGUAAUCCAAUUAAUGAACGCUGUGUAAUUUUGAAACCUUGAUGCCUUCGUACUAACUUGAUUCGAAUGGGUCGAUAUGAACUGGGUAAGUUGAGGUAAAAGUAAUUUUGAGUGGGCACGUCUGUGAUUGCGACUACGAAAAGGUCCAAUUGCAUUUAAGAUACUCAAGAAACCCUUCGUGACAUUCGUUGAUUAAGUCAUCUAAAAUUUCACAUUUUUUCAUAUAGGCGGCGUACUUGGUACCGUUUAUGAACAUAUUGUUAGAACAAGGUGUUUCUGGUGCAUCCCCGCCAUGGUUCAAAAGCCAGAAGUUGUAAUUGUCGCACGCACUCGUGAAUUUUCGAUUCAAAUUCACCGCGGGGCGUGUAAAUUCUCCUACAAUUCGGUUUUAAAAUCUGUCAUAUAUCAAGGAACUGUCACGAGCCAUCAUCGGUCAAAUCUUCAAGCUGGGUGCAAUACUCUUGUCGCGACCGCGGGGCGACUCGAGGAUUUUCUCAAUUAGUGUCACGUCAGGUAAUCUAUGGUAACACAGAUUCCGUAAUGGUGAAAUUCGGUGUACCCACGGUGGCCGAAGCCAUGGAAUUAGGCCGAGAAGCUGCCGCAUUUGUGUCGGCAAAAUUUGUCAAACCCAUUAAUUUGGAAUUCGAAAAAGUCUAUUACCCCUAUUUAUUGAUCAACGAAAAGAGGUAUCCAGGAUUGUAUUGGACCAAACCUGAAAAGUUUGACAAAAUGGAUUGUAAGGGUUUAGAAACUGUUCGUCGUGAUAAUUGUCAACUCGUUGCCAAUCUUAUCAAUAGCUGGUCUGCAGAAAAGUUUGAUUGAUCGAGAUCCGGGUGGAGCACUAGAAUAC